rnacentral:sRNA from 1 species
ACCUGCGACCCGGAGAAAAGACGUGGGAAUGCGAAGGGAUGCACUGCUGUGUGGACUGUAGAGCCUGUCCGAUGUCGGCAGGCUCUAAUUUUUUAU